CGGUAACAUGAGGUGCAGGCUUGUCAACUAGAGCUAGGCCCGAGGGGGUCCUCCCCGCUCUCCGGCCCUCGCCCCUCCGCUCCUCCACUGUGUUGGAGCGGCAUUGUGAGUUGGCGGCUCUCCAGGGUUUCCCAGAGCUUUCGGAAAUGCUCAUUCAGCCGCUGCAGUACACGGUCUACAGAGCUGAGGGCUGCUGUGUGCUGCUCGUGAGCCAAGUCGCAGACGCAAUCUUUGUUCGACACUCCACGCUCGGUUAGGCCCCGUUGCAGGUUUGGAGGUAGGUGUCUUGUCGCUUGUUUAGGCAGUCGAGUAGAGACCAGGAUAACCCCCGCCGG